CGGGAUGUAGCGCAGUCUGGUAGCGCACUUCGUUCGGGACGAAGGGGUCGGAGGUUCAAAUCCUCUCAUCCCGACCA
rnacentral:tRNA from 1 species